UACGGGGGGGGCAAGCGUUGUUCGGAAUUACUGGGCGUAAAGGGCUCGUAGGCGGCCAAUUAAGUCGGACGUGAAAUCCCCAGGCUCAACCUGGGAACUGCGUCUGAUACUGGAUGGCUUGAGUUUGGGAGAGGGACGCGGAAUUCCAGGUGUAGCGGUGAAAUGCGUAGAUAUCUGGAGGAACACCGGUGGCGAAGGCGGCGUCCUGGACCAACACUGACACUGAUGAGCGAAAGCCAGGGGAGCAAACGGG
rnacentral:rRNA from 1 species